GACGAACGCUGGCGGCGUGCUUAACACAUGCAAGUCGAACGGAAAGGCCCUGCUUUUGUGGGGUGCUCGCGUGGCGAACGUGUGAGUAACACGUGAGUAUCCUGCCUUUGACUUUGGGAUAACUUCAGGAAACUGGUGCUACUACCGGAUAGGAGCUCCUGCUGCAUGGUGGGGGUUGGAAAGUUUCGGCGGAUGUGGAUGGACUCGCGGCUUAGUAGCUUGUUGGUGGGGUAGUGGCUUACCCAGGCUUUGACGGGUAGCCGGCCUGAGAGGGUGACCGGCCACAUUGGGACUGAGAGACGGACCAGACGCCUACGGGAGGCAGCAGUGGGGAAUAUUGCACAAUGGGCGGAAGCCUGAUGCAGAAACGUCGCGUGCGGGAUGAAGGCCUUCGGGUUGUAAACCGCUUUCGCCUGUGACGAAGCGUGAGUGACGGUAAUGGGUAAAGAAGCACCGGCUAACUACGUG
rnacentral:rRNA from 1 species